UUGCAUUAUUUUCUCUAUUCUGGGAUUCUGUCAUUUUGAAGCUGUUUUUAGUUGUUCCCAAUUUUACACUAUAUGCUCUUAUCUAUUAGAAUGUCAUUAUUUCUAUUAGAAUGUCAUUAUUUCAUCACCACAAGUGUGGGGUACACCACAAGGCACUAAGUGAGCAUGGAGCAAAUUUGUUUUGAAUGAAGAAGGAAUCAGUGACAGAGACUCUCUAGAAAUAUAUAUUUGUUUACCAUGCUCACUCAAUAUUGGUGUUGAAGAAACGAAACAAUCCUUUAAAUGGUUGUGCAUCUGUGGAUUCCAGCAAAAUCCUGUUUAUAGGAUUUUGAGUCUUAAGCAUUUCCUUGCUGUGUCUAUGGAGGAAAGUAAACAGGAUGCUUGGCAAAGAGUGAAUACAAUUCUGAUUGGGUAUGGAAAACAGGGCUUGCUGAAGGAUACCAGACUGGUCAUGUUUGAGAAUGGAAUUUGUCAGGGGUCUGCCCUAUAAUAGAUAUAGACUUUUCUUUUAGAGGAAUUAGGGAAGAUUUCCACAUGGGUUGUGCUUCUCUCCCAGGAUGUAUACUUCUGCAUUAUCAUGCAAUGUGAGAGUCCGAGAUCAACUAACAAAAAUGUAGAUGAUUCUGUUUUUAGGAGGACUAGUUUUCAGAGCAAAAUGAGGUUUGGAUUAUGGAAUGCAAAUUACCUUACUGUAUUGCAGAGGACAUUGUAUUCAGCACAAGUUGCCUCAUCUGAAAGAUAUAAUGGGAAGGUUAAGAAUGGGAACUUCAAUGGGGCAGAAAAUUUGACAUAUUAAAACUGUAAACUGUACUGAGUCAGGACCUGCAUGAUUGCAGAAUGUAGCCUUCUGGUGAAAUAGACAGACAUGGUCAAAGACUCUCCACUCUGGAUAGCAUUGAUACAAUCCCUUACUCUGGGAAAAAAUUAAAGCCUGCUCAGACAACAAUGUUCAAGCCAAGAACAAGGAGGAAUCACGGCAGGUAAUCCAAGAAAUUAAAUCUGCUCCACUUCCAAUAUUUAGUAUCCAGCUUGAUGAAUCUACAGACAUUGCAAACUGUUCAGUUACUGGUUUACAUGAGGAACAUGACAUUGAACCAGACAAAAGGAUUAUGAUGAUAAUUUCUGUGAAAGAACACUUGCACAUGCUCCCAGACGAAAUUUCAUCAUACUUUCCAAAUCUACCUGAUACCCCAUUUGCACUUGCCAGAAGCCCAUUCACAAUCAAAGUUGAAGUUGUUCCUGAAACAGCACAAGAGGAGUUCAUUGAACUUAUUAACAGCAAUGCGCCGAGAACUGAUUUCUCUACAAUGUCAGUUACAAAAUUCUGGAUCAAGUGUUUGCGGUCAUAUCCUGAUCUGUCCGAGAUUGGGUUGCGCCUCUUCUUCCGUUUCCAACAACAUAUCUUUGUGAAACAGGGUUUUCCAGCUUUUUGGUUAUCAAGUCUAAAUACAGAAGUAGACUUGUUGUGGAAGAUGAAAGACUGCCUGGAGAAUUUAUGAUCUGGUGAGAAAGAUGCAAUCUCAACCUUCACACUGACGUUGGCUUUUUAUGCAUACUGUCGCAAAAUGUAGUAAUGUAGUAUUUAAUAUUGUUAUAUUAAGACUGUUACCCAUGCUACACCAUGCUUCAAGACAAAAUUUCAUUUAUUUGUAAUUAGA